UCCGGUUUGUCACCGGCAGUCUCAUUAGAGUGCCCAACUGAAUGUAGCAACUAAUGACAAGGGUUGCGCUCGUUGCGGGACUUAACCCAACAUCUCACGACACGAGCUGACGACAGCCAUGCAGCACCUGUGUGUCGGCUCCCUUUCGGGCACACCCACCUCUCAGCGGGCUUCCGACCAUGUCAAGGGUAGGUAAGGUUUUUCGCGUUGCAUCGAAUUAAUCCACAUCAUCCACCGCUUGUGCGGGUCCCCGUCAAUUCCUUUGAGUUUUAAUCUUGCGACCGUACUCCCCAGGCGGUCGACUUCACGCGUUAGCUACGACACUGAAUGACUAUGUCACCCAACAUCCAGCACACAUCGUUUACGGCGUGGACUAC
rnacentral:misc_RNA from 1 species